AUCUCUUGGUUCCAGCAUCGAUGAAGAACGCAGCGAAAUGCGAUAAGUAAUGUGAAUUGCAGAAUUCAGUGAAUCAUCGAAUCUUUGAACGCACAUUGCGCCCCUCGGUAUUCCGGGUGGCAUGCCUGUUCGAGCGUCAU
rnacentral:rRNA from 1 species